UGGGGAAUAUUUCACAAUGGGCGCAAGCCUGAUGCAGCCAUGCCGCGUGUGUGAAGAAGGCCUUCGGGUUGUAAAGCACUUUCAGCGGGGAGGAAGGCGGUGAGGUUAAUAACCUCAUCGAUUGACGUUACCCGCAGAAGAAGCACCGGCUAACUCCGUGCCAGCAGCCGCGGUAAUACGGAGGGUGCAAGCGUUAAUCGGAAUUACUGGGCGUAAAGCGCACGCAGGCGGUCUGUCAAGUCGGAUGUGAAAUCCCCGGGCUCAACCUGGGAACUGCAUUCGAAACUGGCAGGCUAGAGUAUUGUAGAGGGGGGUAGAAUUCCAGGUGUAGCGGUGAAAUGCGUAGAGAUCUGGAGGAAUACCGGUGGCGAAGGCGGCCCCCUGGACAAAGACUGACGCUCAGGUGCGAAAGCGUGGGGAGCAAACAGG
rnacentral:rRNA from 1 species